UCCUACGGGAGGCAGCAGUGGGGAAUAUUGGACAAUGGGGGCAACCCUGAUCCAGCAAUGCCGCGUGUGUGAAGAAGGCCUGAGGGUUGUAAAGCACUUUCAGUGGGGAGGGAGAUUGAUAGGUUAAGAGCUAAUUGAUUGGACGUUACCCACAGAAGAAGCACCGGCUAACUCCGUGCCAGCAGCCGCGGUAAU
rnacentral:rRNA from 1 species